UUUAAUAAUCAUCAUAAUUUAUUAUUUAUUCAUUUAUUUUGAGACAGGGUCUCACUGUCGCCCAGGCUGGAGUGCAGUGGCAUGAUCUCAGCUCACUGCAACUUCCACCUCCCAGGUUCAAGCGACUCUCCUGCCUCAGCCUCCGGAGUAGCUGGGAUUACUGGCACCCGCCACCACGCCCAGGAAAAGCAAGUUGAUUGAAGGAAAAAUCUGUGGUCCGGGGAGAUGUUCCAAAUCCUGGAGGUGGAGAGGAAUGAAUGACGUUUGUGGCUUGCAGAUCAACUCCCCGCAGGGGGCGUGACGUUGUCACAGCCAAAAUUGUCCUCCACGCGCUGCUACGACAUCCAGCUGCCCUCUGGACUGCACCCAGGGACGCUGCUAUGAUCACUGAGCCAUUCACCAAUGUUCCAGCUCUUUCUCCCUCCA